rnacentral:rRNA from 1 species
UACGUAGGGGGCAAGCGUUGUCCGGAAUCAUUGGGCGUAAAGAGCGCGUAGGCGGUCCGGUAAGUCCGCUGUGAAAGUCAAGGGCUCAACCCUUGAAUGCCGGUGGAUACUGUCGGGCUAGAGUCCGGAAGAGGCGAGUGGAAUUCCUGGUGUAGCGGUGAAAUGCGCAGAUAUCAGGAGGAACACCAAUGGCGAAGGCAGCUCGCUGGGACGGUACUGACGCUGAGGCGCGAAAGCGCGGGGAGCAAACAGG